AAGUCGUAACAAGGUUUCCGUAGGUGAACCUGCGGAAGGAUCAUUAGCGAGUAAGACCCUGCCCUAGUGGCUCGGUCAGUCCCAUCAUAUACACCUUUAUUCGUGAACUCGUGGUUCAGCUGGACGAUGAAAGCUUUGGCGACUAGCCGUCCGUCGGUUCCGCUCUUUAUACCCUUUAUGUGAAGUCAAUGGAAAUUAUGAUAAUCUAAUACAACUUUCAACAACGGAUCUCUUGGCUCUC
rnacentral:misc_RNA from 1 species